AUUGAACGCUGGCGGCAGGCCUAACACAUGCAAGUCGAGCGGAUGAAGGGAGCUUGCUCCUGGAUUCAGCGGCGGACGGGUGAGUAAUGCCUAGGAAUCUGCCUGGUAGUGGGGGAUAAUGUCCGGAAACGGGCGCUAAUACCGCAUACGUCCUGAGGGAGAAAGUGGGGGAUCUUCGGACCUCACGCUAUCAGAUGAGCCUAGGCCGGAUUAGCUAGUUGGUGGGGUAAAGGCCUACCAAGGCGACGAUCCGUAACUGGUCUGAGAGGAUGAUCAGUCACACUGGAACUGAGACACGGUCCAGACUCCUACGGGAGGCAGCAGUGGGGAAUAUUGGACAAUGGGCGAAAGCCUGAUCCAGCCAUGCCGCGUGUGUGAAGAAGGUCUUCGGAUUGUAAAGCACUUUAAGUUGGGAGGAAGGGCAGUAAGUUAAUACCUUGCUGUUUUGACGUUACCAACAGAAUAAGCACCGGCUAACUUCGUG
rnacentral:rRNA from 1 species